rnacentral:rRNA from 1 species
UCGCUGGCGGCGUGCUUAACACAUGCAAGUCGAACGAUCCUUCGGGAUAGUGGCGGACGGGUGAGUAACGCGUGGGAAUCUGCCCUCAGGAGGGGGAUAACGGCUGGAAACGGCCGCUAAUACCCCAUAUGCCGAGAGGUGAAAUGAAUUUCGCCUGAGGAUGAGCCCGCGUCUGAUUAGCUAGUUGGUGGGGUAAAGGCCUACCAAGGCGACGAUCAGUAGCUGGUCUGAGAGGAUGAUCAGCCACACUGGGACUGAGACACGGCCCAGACUCCUACGGGAGGCAGCAGUGGGGAAUUUUCCGCAAUGGGCGAAAGCCUGACGGAGCAACGCCGCGUGAGGGAUGAAGGCCUCUGGGCUGUAAACCUCUUUUCUCAAGGAAGAAGAACUGACGGUACUUGAGGAAUAAGCCACGGCUAAUUCCGUGCCAGCAGCCGCGGUAAUACGGGAGUGGCAAGCGUUAUCCGGAAUUAUUGGGCGUAAGCGUCCGCAGGCGGCCUUGUAAGUCUGUUGUUAAAGCGUGGAGCUCAACUCCAUUUAAGCAAUGGAAACUACAAGGCUGGAGUGUGGUAGGGGCAGAGGGAAUUCCCGGUGUAGCGGUGAAAUGCGUAGAUAUCGGGAAGAACACCAGUGGCGAAGGCGCUCUGCUGGGCCAUAACUGACGCUCAUGGACGAAAGCCAGGGGAGCGAAAGGGAUUAGAUACCCCUGUAGUCCUGGCCGUAAACGAUGAACACUAGGUGUCGGGGGAAUCGACCCCCUCGGUGUCGUAGCCAACGCGUUAAGUGUUCCGCCUGGGGAGUACGCACGCAAGUGUGAAACUCAAAGGAAUUGACGGGGGCCCGCACAAGCGGUGGAGUAUGUGGUUUAAUUCGAUGCAACGCGAAGAACCUUACCAGGGUUUGACAUCCUGCGAAUCCCUUGGAAACGAGGGAGUGCCUUCGGGAGCGCAGUGACAGGUGGUGCAUGGCUGUCGUCAGCUCGUGUCGUGAGAUGUUGGGUUAAGUCCCGCAACGAGCGCAACCCACGUCUUUAGUUGCCAGCAUUCAGUUGGGCACUCUAGAGAGACCGCCGGUGAUAAACCGGAGGAAGGUGUGGAUGACGUCAAGUCAUCAUGCCCCUUACAUCCUGGGCUACACACGUACUACAAUGCUACGGACAAAGGGCAGCAAGCUCGCGAGAGUUAGCAAAUCCCAUAAACCGUGGCUCAGUUCAGAUCGUAGGCUGCAACUCGCCUACGUGAAGGAGGAAUCGCUAGUAAUCGCAGGUCAGCAUACUGCGGUGAAUACGUUCCCGGGCCUUGUACACACCGCCCGUCACACCAUGGAAGUUGGCCAUGCCCGAAGUCGUUACUCCAACCCUUGUGGAGGAGGACGCCGAAGGUGGGGCUGAUGACUGGGGUGAAGUC